rnacentral:rRNA from 1 species
UGGGGAAUUUUGGACAAUGGGCGAAAGCCUGAUCCAGCAAUGCCGCGUGUGUGAAGAAGGCCUUCGGGUUGUAAAGCACUUUUGUCCGGAAAGAAAUCCUUGGCUCUAAUACAGUCGGGGGAUGACGGUACCGGAAGAAUAAGCACCGGCUAACUACGUGCCAGCAGCCGCGGUAAUACGUAGGGUGCAAGCGUUAAUCGGAAUUACUGGGCGUAAAGCGUGCGCAGGCGGUUUGCUAAGACCGAUGUGAAAUCCCCGGGCUCAACCUGGGAACUGCAUUGGUGACUGGCAGGCUAGAGUAUGGCAGAGGGGGGUAGAAUUCCACGUGUAGCAGUGAAAUGCGUAGAGAUGUGGAGGAAUACCGAUGGCGAAGGCAGCCCCCUGGGCCAAUACUGACGCUCAUGCACGAAAGCGUGGGGAGCAAAACAGGAUUAGAUACCCUGGUAGUCCACGCCCUAAACGAUGUCAACUAGUUGUUGGGGGAUUCAUUUCCUUAGUAACGUAGCUAACGCGUGAAGUUGACCGCCUGGGGAGUACGGUCGCAAGAUUAAAACUCAAAGGAAUUGACGGGGUCAUAGCUGUUUCCU